GACGAACGCUGGCGGCGCGCCUAACACAUGCAAGUCGAACGAGCGAGAGAGAGCUUGCUUUCUCGAGCGAGUGGCGAACGGGUGAGUAACGCGUGAGGAACCUGCCUCAAAGAGGGGGACAACAGUUGGAAACGACUGCUAAUACCGCAUAAGCCCACGGGUCGGCAUCGACCAGAGGGAAAAGGAGCAAUCCGCUUUGAGAUGGCCUCGCGUCCGGUUAGCUAGUUGGUGAGGUAACGGCCCACCAAGGCGACGAUCGGUAGCCGGACUGAGAGGUUGAACGGCCACAUUGGGACUGAGACACGGCCCAGACUCCUACGGGAGGCAGCAGUGGGGAAUAUUGCACAAUGGGGGAAACCCUGAUGCAGCGACGCCGCGUGGAGGAAGAAGGUCUUCGGAUUGUAAACUCCUGUUGUUGGGGAAGAUAAUGACGGUAACUUAUGAAUAAGCACCGGCUAACUACGUGCCAGCCGCCGCGGUAA
rnacentral:rRNA from 1 species